rnacentral:rRNA from 1 species
GAAUAUUGGUCAAUGGGGGCAACCCUGAACCAGCCAUGCCGCGUGCAGGAAGACAGCCCUACGGGUCGUAAACUGCUUUUGUACGGGAACAAACCCCUCCUCGUGAGGAGGGCUGAGCGUACCGUAAGAAUAAGGAUCGGCUAACUCCGUGCCAGCAGCCGCGGUAAUACGGAGGAUCCGAGCAUUAUCCGGAUUUAUUGGGUUUAAAGGGAGCGUAGGCGGCCCGUUAAGUCAGGGGUGAAAGACGGUGGCUCAACCAUCGCAGUGCCUUUGAUACUGACGGGCUUGAAUACACCUGAGGUAGGCGGAAUGUGGCAAGUAGCGGUGAAAUGCAUAGAUAUGCCACAGAACACCGAUUGCGAAGGCAGCUUACUAAAGUGUGAUUGACGCUGAGGCUCGAAAGCGUGGGGAUCAAACAG